rnacentral:rRNA from 1 species
GAAUCUUCCACAAUGGACGAACGUCUGAUGGAGCAAUGCCGCGUGAGUGAAGAAGGCUUUCGGAUCGUAAAACUCUGUUGUUAGGGAAGACCAAGUAUGAGAGUAACUGCUCGUACCUUGACGGUAACUCAUUACAAAGCCACGGCUAACUACGUCCCAGCAGCCGCGGUCAUACGUAGGUGGCAAGCGUUGUCCGGAAUUAUUGGGUGUAAAGCGCGCGCAGGCGGUCCUUUAAGUCUGAUGUGAAAUCCCACGGCUCAACCGUGGAAGGUCAUUGGAAACUGGGGGACUUGAGUACAGAAGAGGAAAGCGGAAUUCCAAGUGUAGCGGUGAAAUGCGUAGAGAUUUGGAGGAACACCAGUGGCGAAGGCGGCUUUCUGGUCUGUAACUGACGCUGAGGCGCGAAAGCGUGGGGAGCAAAC